UGGCUCAGAACGAACGCUGGCGGCGUGCAUAAAACAUGCAAGUCGAACGGGCCAAAGCCGCAAGGCUGAGGCUAGUGGCGAACGGCUGAGUAACACGUAGGUGACCUGCCCUGAAGUGGGGGAUAACGACUCGAAAGAGUCGCUAAUACCGCAUGUGACCACCGAUCCAUUUCGGUGCUCAAAGUCGCAAGACGCUUUUGGAGGGGCCUGCGGCGGAUUAGCUAGUUGGUGAGGUAACGGCUCACCAAGGCGUGGAAAAGUAGCUGGUCUGAGAGGAUGGCCAGCCAGACUGGGAUUGACUCCCGGCCCAUGAACCUACGGGAGGCAG
rnacentral:rRNA from 1 species